rnacentral:rRNA from 1 species
AUGCGUAUACGUGGGACCAUUACUACCAAGUUUUGGCCCAUCCAUGCUCGUGUCGUGGAGCAUGGAAGGCAUCGGAACAAAAAUCCAUCAUUUUCCUCCGAAAGGGCUACCACUCACAUGAGAGUGCAGCCACCCGGCCAAUCAAUGCCGCAUCACCAUACACAUGCACAUCCGCAUGUGCAUCUCAUCAUCACAAAACAAGAGAAGAGAAAAGAAAAGAAGAAGAAAAUCCAUCCACCAAUUGAUAGCUACACCACGUACUCGACCCCCCAAAAAAGAAUCAUGCAUGUGAAGCGAGAGCCAGGAGGGCCCAUCCAUCAGGAGCUAGCUAGUCUUGGUCCUGAGCGCGCACUCCUCCGGCACGGUCGGGAACCUCUUGCGGUCGUCGCAGUAGUCGUAUAUCACGAGGUUCCUGGACACCCAGCCCGAGUCCCGGCGCUGGCCGUCGUCGAGCGCCCACGCCGGCGGCUGGUCCCACCAGCUGUUCCCCGUGGCGGCGGCGCACGCCGGCGGGGCCGGGCCGGUCGCCCAGGCGCAGGCGUCGGCGGUGAAGUCGCUGUAGGAGGAGACGAAGGGCCCCUUGGUCCAGUCCGUCUUCUCCAGCCCCCCGCGCGUGGCCCAGUCGUCGGCGUUCCAGAUGCUGGAGAAGACGUACAUGGGCUUCAUGAUCGGGAAGAAUUUGUUGGGCUUGUCCGAGUUGCGGUACUCCCUGAUGGGCACCUUGUCCACGAAAAACCUGCAAACGUACAUACAAUAUCAACAUCAAAGACAAGUUGGCAAGUGCAAUCGGAUCUCGAUCCCAGUAUAGUACAGCGCACUGGGCUAUUCAGCAACCACGGAGAUGUGCGCCCACACCGCUGUAUACUAGUACUAUUGUCUAGUAGGAGUAUAUGUUGCCGCAGUUUGGAGUGCAGGAUCGAGCUGAAAGUUUCUCUCUCAGCAGUACGCAGUACUACGUCCGAGGCAGCCGAGAGAAGGGAGGGAGGGGGCGGCAUGUGGGUUGAGCGAGGCGGUACAGUGUGCAAACAGUGCACGGCGGCGCGCAUUGUUUGGUCCAAACAGGGUGCGUGCACGUACCAAGAGCUAGUUUUGCUACUCUGCGGCCGGGAAGGGUCGGGUCCAGCCAGUGGGUAUCUAUCUAUCUAUCGGAGUGACCCAAAUGCAGGGGUGAGUGGGUGGAUCCAUUCAAUUCAACUGCCCCCGCACCUACUAAAUCCGGCAGCCCCACUCCCCCACCCCAGAUUACACACACUACUGGCGCAAUCGGAGUUGAAAGCUUAA